rnacentral:rRNA from 1 species
CCUGAUCCAGCAACGCCGCGUGAGGGAUGACUGCCUUCGGGUUGUAAACCUCUUUCAGCAGGGACGAAGCGAAAGUGACGGUACCUGCAGAAGAAGCACCGGCCAACUACGUGCCAGCAGCCGCGGUAAUACGUAGGGUGCGAGCGUUGUCCGGAAUUAUUGGGCGUAAAGGGCUCGUAGGCGGUUUGUCACGUCGGGAGUGAAAACUCAGGGCUCAACCCUGAGCCUGCUUCCGAUACGGGCAGACUAGAGGUAUGCAGGGGAGAACGGAAUUCCUGGUGUAGCGGUGAAAUGCGCAGAUAUCAGGAGGAACACCGGUGGCGAAGGCGGUUCUCUGGGCAUUACCUGACGCUGAGGAGCGAAAGUGUGGGGAGCGAACAGGAUUAGAUACCCUGGUAGUCCACACCGUAAACGUUGGGCGCUAGGUGUGGGUCUCAUUCCACGAGAUCCGUGCCGCAGCUAACGCAUUAAGCGCCCCGCCUGGGGAGUACGGCCGCAAGGCUAAAACUCAAAGGAAUUGACGGGGGCCCGCACAAGCGGCGGAGCAUGCGGAUUAAUUCGAUGCAACGCGAAGAACCUUACCUAGGUUUGACAUAUGUGAGAAGCCUCUAGAGAUAGAGGUCUCUUUGGACACUC